UACGUAGGGUGCAAGCGUUGUCCGGAAUUAUUGGGCGUAAAGCGCGUGUAGGCGGCCAGAAAAGUCCGCUGUGAAAACUCGAGGCUCAACUUCGAGCUGUCGGUGGAAACUUUCUGGCUAGAGUCCGGAAGAGGAGAAUGGAAUUCCUGGUGUAGCGGUGAAAUGCGCAGAUAUCAGGAAGAACACCCGUGGCGAAGGCGGUUCUCUGGGACGGUACUGACGCUGAGACGCGAAAGCGUGGGGAGCGAACAGG
rnacentral:rRNA from 1 species